UACAGAGGUGGCAAGCGUUGUUCGGAAUUACUGGGCGUAAAGGGUUUGUAGGUGGCCAACUAAGUCAGACGUGAAAUCCCUCAGCUUAACUGGGGAACUGCGUCUGAUACUGGUUGGCUUGAGUGCAGGAGAGGAACGCGGAAUUCCAGGUGUAGCGGUGAAAUGCGUAGAUAUUCGGAGGAACACCGGUGGCGAAGGCGGCUAUCUGGCACAUUACUGACGCUGAGGUGCGAAAGCGUGGGGAUCAAACAGG
rnacentral:rRNA from 1 species